rnacentral:rRNA from 1 species
UGCGCAGGCGGCCUGAUAAGUCAGGGGUGAAAUAUGUCGGCUCAACCGGCAAACUGCCCCUGAAACUGCCAGGCUUGAGUCCGGGAGAGGAUGGUGGAAUUCCUGGUGUAGCGGUGAAAUGCGUAAAAUAUCAGGAGGAACACCAAUGGCGAAGGCAGCCAUCUGGCCCGGUACUGACGCUCAGGCACGAAAGCUAGGGGAGCGAACA